GUUAUCCGGAUUUAUUGGGUUUAAAGGGUGCGUAGGCGGAUUGAUAAGUCAGUGGUGAAAACCUGCAGCUUAACUGUAGACUUGCCGUUGAUACUGUCAGUCUUGAGUGUGGUCAAGGUAGGCGGAAUGUGUAAUGUAGCGGUGAAAUGCUUAGAUAUUACACAGAACACCGAUUGCGAAGGCAGCUUACUGGGCCAUUACUGACGCUGAUGCACGAAAGCGUGGGGAUCGAACAGGAUUAGAUACCCUGGUAGUCCACGCCGUAAACGAUGAUCACUCGCUGUUAGCGAUACACAGUUAGCGGCUAAGCAAAAGCAUUAAGUGAUCCACCUGGGGAGUACGGCCGCAAGGCUGAAACUCAAAGGAAUUGACGGGGGCCCGCACAAGCGGAGGAACAUGUGGUUUAAUUCGAUGAUACGCGAGGAACCUUACCUGGGCUUAAAUGUAGAGUGCAUUCAGCUGAAAGGCUGAUUUCCUUCGGGACUUUCUGCAAGGUGCUGCAUGGUUGUCGUCAGCUCGUGCCGUGAGGUGUCGGGUUAAGUCCCAUAACGAGCGCAACCCUUAUCGUUAGUUGCCAGCGGGUAAUGCCGGGAACUCUAACGAAACUGCCGGUGUAAACCGAGAGGAAGGUGGGGAUGACGUCAAAUCAGCACGGCCCUUAUGUCCAGGGCUACACACGUGUUACAAUGGCCGGUACAGAGGGCAGCUAUGCCGCGAGGCAAUGCGAAUCUCGAAAGCCGGUCUCAGUUCGGAUCGGAGUCUGCAACUCGACUCCGUGAAGCUGGAUUCGCUAGUAAUCGCGCAUCAGCCAUGGCGCGGUGAAUACGUUCCCGGGCCUUGUACACACCGCCCGU
rnacentral:rRNA from 1 species